rnacentral:SRP_RNA from 1 species
GAGUAAGUCCUGUGCGACCAGCUCCCCGCAAUUCCCCCAGGGUCGGAAGGCAGCAAGGGUAGUGGGUUGUAGCGGUGCGACGCAGAUCGCUUGCUCCGG